UUAUUGCAUUCUUUUUUUGUUCUUUACAUCCUCUCUUGUAUUUGUAAACCACAUCCAUUUUACAGAACACUUUUAUGUUUGUUAUCAUAUUUUAAUCCUCACAGCCACCCUGGAAUAAUGAAGUAUGUUAAGGACACAAAUGCUGUUAAUGAUUCCACUCUUUAAGGUGAUAUCUUAAUUAGUCAGUGAAUGCACAGUUUCAUGGCAGACUUUUCGAAUGCUUUGGCAUAUGACUGCAAGUUAAUGGCCUUCCCUGAUGGGUGCUGCUAUAGUUUGAAUAUGUCCCUCAAAGUUUAUGUGUUGGAAACUUAAUUGCCCUUUUAACAGUAUUAAGAGGUGGGGCCUUCAAGAGGUGAUUAGGCAAUGAGAGCCCUACACUCACAGAUGGAUUAAUGCCAUUAUCAGGAGAGUGGGUUAGUUAUCAUGGGAGUUCAUAAAAGGAUGAGUUUGGCCUGAUUUUCUCUCUCUUUUUCAUGUGCUGACUUCCACUUUCUGCCUUGUGCCAUGGGAAGACCCUCACCAGAUGACAGUGCCAUGCUUUUGGACUUCCCAACCUCCAGAAAUAUGAUAUCUGUAAAUACACAAGUACAGCAGCCAUGGCUUGGGAAGGGCAUAGUGAACAGGAGCUCGUACUGCUCAGAAAUAAGGAUCUGGAUCACAGCAUCAGCAAGGACUAAGAGACACCCCUAAGGAAGAAAAGUAGUAGUAGUGGCUUGGAACCAGGACCCACAAUAUCUCCAAGGAUGCCGGUAUAUCCCACUUCAUUUCAAUGACCCACUUACUGAGUUACAUUCCAUACUACAUUAUCAAUGCCUCCAAGUCAGAGACUAUGUCUUACUUUUGUUUGUAUGUCUAGUUGCUAGAAUAGUUCUGAGUGCACAGUAGGUGAUGAGGUUUAUUUUGAUGUUGAACAAAUAUGUACAACCUGCAAAGAUAUUUUUACUCAGUGCUUUAUCCAUUCAGAUUUUGCCCUCAUGAAUCAAAACUGUAGUUAUAAAUAUAAAUAAAUGUAUAAAUGCAUA